AAGAUCUGUGCUUUUCUGUGGCACUUUCUCCCCUCCUCAUUGUUCUGGGUUCAUUAGAUAAAAUUGUCCCAAACUCCUGAUGAGAGAUGAUCUAUUGUGAGAUAGCUUUGUGAGGCAGAACACAGGAAACCUCAGGGUCUUAUCUCCUGUGAGCCGUCUGUUUUUCCCCAACAGCCCAAUAAAGGAGACUCCUCAGCUGGCGGGGAGUGGUUGGGAAGGCAGACACGGUCCCCAGACCCCUGACCCCACCCUCCACGGCCCUCUCUGUCGCAGACGUCGUAAAAUGUCUCUCUCCUCAUCAUGGAUCAAAGCUGUUUUCAUCAUUUCCUUGGCAGGACCUCUUCAUUCUGACUCUGGCAGGGAAGUAAAACCCGUCAGGGUGAAGAGCAGCUGGGAUACAGUCCGUCCUGCUGACGGGGAUUCUAGCUGGUGGGGAACCAUUGCCACUGGAUGGGAGUUGCCCCUCCUGAGAUCCUGGGAACUCACGGUUAGGCCUUCGAGGCCCCGUAAGCCGCAGAUGUCAAGGCAGGACCUAAUGUAUGUCUUCUCUUGCUUAUUCCAGAUACAGGUAUAUAUAGCAAGACAUUGUAAGUAAGAGAAAGAUAGAAAAUGAAUGAAUACUUACAUUGUGAUCAAAUGAGUGCAUGGAAAUCAAGCCUAAUUAAAAGUUAAGUGAGUAACAGAACUUCUGAAGUUCAGUUCAAAGUGCAAGGUUUAAAAUGCAGUCCUGCCUUAUACUUUCACCCUCUGUCCAAUCACUUUGUUUUUCCUGGGUGGCUUGUGCUUAUAAAUGAAUAAAAAAGUGGAGAAAAGCUAAAAGAAAUGUGCCACGCAGAUAGAAAUGAAAAUAUAUCUUUCUAAUGAAUAUAUCACAUAUCUUAGAGUCAUGAACGUAAAAGCCAAAAAUGCCUUGAUGUGAAAACAUUUAUUUACUACUACUGUUGUUAACAGCUUAAUUAAAUUUCAUUAAUUUUAGUUACUCUUCACUUCUAAUUCAUUUCAGUGAAUCUGUAUGCUAUGCUGAUAGAUGAGAGUGAUUAUAAAGAGAGCCUCACAACUAAAUUCUUUAGACAUGGUGAUCCCGUUACAUUGAUAGAGCAUUUGUGCCUAAAAUCCUUACGUGAGUUUGAGUUAAUGCCAGUAGUGAUUAGCUUAACGUUUAUAAAUGAAGCAUUAAUAUUGAAGAUAAGCAUUAGCAUGAAGUAUACAAACUUGGCUUCUUACACAACCUCAGUAUAAAAACACGUGUUGCUGUAGGUGUUGCCGUCUGAUGCACAGACAGGAAAGCGUUCAUUGGUGCAACCGGUCAUUGUAUUUUCAACCUGUCAGAGUCAGGCUGCAGAAGUCAGAGACGUCUUAAAAUGGUAACAAUAAUAACCAUAUGAAUAGCAGCUUCCACACACUAUGAGCAUGACACUUGGUUCUUUCUUGAUGUAAUAUUUGAAUAUUCAAUUUGAGUUCUAAUUUAAAGACUGUAAUUUUAAUAUCAGAACACUCCCAGGCACAUAGAAAGUGCUCUAUGAGUAUCCUGAAUGAAUAAAUAAGAACUAGACGAUAAAUUCUAUUCAUAUCUCUUUGUUUUCUUUUCCCCUAUCCUCUUCUGAGCUACCACCUCCUUUUAUAGGAUAAUUGCAGUCUUUGUCUAAGUGGUCUGAUUGCAGCCACUUUUUUUCCCUGCUCCAAAUGCCUGCUUUAUUAUUUUUUCAAUUUAAUUUUUAUUUUAUAUUGGAGUGUAGUUGUAGUGUUAGUUUCGGGUGUACAGCAAAAUGCUUCAGUUAUACAUCCAUGUGUCCAUGCUUUUUCAGAGGCUCUUCCCAUGUGUUAUGACGGAAUGUUGAGGAGAGUCCCCCGCGCUGCACACUAGGGCCUAGGGCCAUGUUGAUUACCUGUUUUACAUAUUAAA